rnacentral:tRNA from 1 species
AAAUAAGAAGCAAUAGAUGCAUUUAAUUUCGACUUAAAAAAUAGAGUUAUUUAUUAACUCCUUAUUUA